rnacentral:tRNA from 1 species
GCCACGGUAGCUCAGUUGGUAAGAGCGCAGCAUUGGUAAUGCUGAGGUCCCGAGUUCAAUCCUCGGCCGUGGCU